rnacentral:rRNA from 1 species
AACGAACGCUGGCGGCAUGCCUAACACAUGCAAGUCGAACGAAGGCUUCGGCCUUCGUGGCGCACGGGUGCGUAACGCGUGGGAAUCUGCCCUUUGCUUCGGAAUAACAGUUAGAAAUGACUGCUAAUACCGGAUGAUGUCGCAAGACCAAAGAUUUAUCGGCAAAGGAUGAGCCCGCGUAGGAUUAGCUAGUUGGUGGGGUAAAGGCCUACCAAGGCGACGAUCCUUAGCUGGUCUGAGAGGAUGAUCAGCCACACUGGGACUGAGACACGGCCCAGACUCCUGCGGGAGGCAGCAGUGGGGAAUAUUGGACAAUGGGCGAAAGCCUGAUCCAGCAAGGCCGCGUAAGUGAUGAAGGCCGUAGGGUUGUAAAGCUCUUUUACCCGGGAUGAUAAUGACAGUACCGGGAGAAUAAGCUCCGGCUAACUCCGUG